rnacentral:rRNA from 1 species
AUGGCUCAUCGGGGGAAGGCUAAGAUCCAAUGGAUCGCCGACGCAGCGAAGCGCAAGGCAACAAUGAGGAAGGGUCUACUCAUGCUUGCAAACAAGGCUCAAGAGCUUGCGAUUCUUUGUAACAUCCAAACUUGUCUCUUGUGGUACCUUCCUGGCGAGGCCCAGAUGGAAGUGCUCUGGCCAUCGUUGAAGGAAGCUAAAGAGAUCCUGCAGUGGUAUGACGAGAGGCUCGAAUCAAAAAAUUCCAAGAAUAAGAAGGAAGACACAAGCUUCAUCCAAGAGAUAUUCAACAAGGGGAAGGAAACGUUUUUGGAAGUCCAGUGGCAGAACUGUGACCUGGGGAUCAAGGAUGUGCUCAGUGACCUCUUCGUCAGCGACCAUCGGGGCCUUGAUGACAUGCCUGAUCACAUGUCCCUCGUCCUCAAAUGGAGGGUGAAGAAGUACCUCAUGGAUGUCAACACACGCCUCGAGAAACUCCGUUCAGGCUCCGCACAUGCAUUGCAUCUAUCACAACAGCAAAGCCUUGACACUGGCUAUGCUGCCACCUCGUAUUGCAUAGGUGAACAUCACUCCAGUGCUGCCAAAGACCGAGGUGAUGUCAAUGGUUGA